rnacentral:rRNA from 1 species
UACGUAGGGUGCAAGCGUUGUCCGGAAUUAUUGGGCGUAAAGAGCUCGUAGGCGGUUUGUCGCGUCGAAUGUGAAACCCGGGGCUCAACCCCGGGCCUGCAUUCGAUACGGGCAGACUAGAGUUCGGUAGGGGAGUCUGGAAUUCCUGGUGUAGCGGUGAAAUGCGCAGAUAUCGGGAGGAACACCGGUGGCGAAGGCGGCGACCUGGGUAGAUACUGACGCUGAGGUGCGAAAGCG